AUUGUACGUCGAGUUGUUAAUCGAACCCGAACCUUCAGUGAAAUUCAGAAUGCAAUCCCGUUCUGUUUUUAAAACGUUAAUCGUCUUGGCUUUCUUAGCCAGCUCCUUUGAGGCUUUAACCACGAAACCUUAUUUACAUAAACUUGCUAGUAACGUUUACGCAGUAGGUGUAUCUGGGCCACGGCAAAAAUGUCCCGACGGACAAAAGUUCAAUUCCAUUCUUAAUCGGUGCUUCCUUGUUUGGGGUUAACGUCAAAUUUAUGCGGGACAGCAAAAAGGUCUUGGUUCUUAAUUGUGACAGAGGCUUUGUUAUGGUCGGUAAUCACAACAUUGUUCACUUUGUGUUGUCUAGUCUUGUCAUCCUAUAAUGAAGAAAUAUAACAUGUCACCUGUUUA